UACGAAGGGGGGCUAGCGUUGCUCGGAAUUACUGGGCGUAAAGCGCACGUAGGCGGAUACUUAAGUCAGGGGGUGAAAUCCCGGGGCUCAACCCCCGGAACUGCCUUUGAUACUGGGUAUCUCGAGUCCGGAAGAGGUGAGUGGAAUUCCGAGUGUAGAGGUGAAAUUCGUAGAUAUUCGGAGGAACACCAGUGGCGAAGGCGGCUCACUGGUCCGGUACUGACGCUGAGGUGCGAAAGCGUGGGGAGCAAACAGG
rnacentral:rRNA from 1 species